rnacentral:rRNA from 1 species
AUUGAACGCUGGCGGCAUGCUUUACACAUGCAAGUCGAACGGUAACAGGCCGCAAGGUGCUGACGAGUGGCGAACGGGGGAGUAAUGCAUCGGAACGUGCCCAGUCGUGGGGGAUAACUACUCGAAAGAGUAGCUAAUACCGCAUACGAGCUAUGGAUGAAAGCGGGGGACCGUAAGGCCUCGCGCGAGGGGAGCGGCUGAUGUCGGAUUAGCUAGUUGGUGGGGUAAAGGCUUACCAAGCCAACGAUGGGUAGCUGGCCUGUGAGGAUGACCGGCCACACUGGGACUGAGAUACGGCCCAGACGCCGACUGGAGGCAGCAGUGGGGAAGAUUGCACAAUGGGUGGAAGCCUGAUGCAGCAACGCCGUGUGCGGGAUGACGGCCUUCGGGUUGUAAACCGCUUUCGCUCAUGACGAAGCGUGGUGUGACGGUAGUGGGUAAAGAAGCACCGGCUAACUACGUG